GUUCAGGUGGAUACAGUUCACAAAAAAAAUGGAAAGAAACAACCAGUGAGCUGAUAGAUGUUUGUUGUGUUGGGGCAAUUUAAACUUACAGAGUCCA